CUCCGUUCAAGCCAUAUGGCUUCGAUCAUUUUUUAGUAACAUGUUCUUCAUAUAGUAACAUAUAUGAUUCGGGCUCCGGCCUGAAAAACCUAUGUUCAGCAAUUUUUUGCAUGGGCAUGCCAACAUGCCAGAUCCCUGCUUGCAUAUCUGGUGUUGGCGCGGGUGACCCUGGUAUUGCACUACCUCCAGGCGACGCCCACCCUCU
rnacentral:snRNA from 1 species